rnacentral:rRNA from 1 species
GUACACUCCUACGGGAGGCAGCAGUGGGGAAUAUUGGACAAUGGGCGCAAGCCUGAUCCAGCCAUGCCGCGUGAGUGAUGAAGGCCCUAGGGUUGUAAAGCUCUUUCACCGGUGAAGAUAAUGACGGUAACCGGAGAAGAAGCCCCGGCUAACUUCGUGCCAGCAGCCGCGGUAAUACGAAGGGGGCUAGCGUUGUUCGGAUUUACUGGGCGUAAAGCGCACGUAGGCGGACUAUUAAGUCAGGGGUGAAAUCCCGGGGCUCAACCCCGGAACUGCCUUUGAUACUGGUAGUCUUGAGUUCGAGAGAGGUGAGUGGAAUUCCGAGUGUAGAGGUGAAAUUCGUAGAUAUUCGGAGGAACACCAGUGGCGAAGGCGGCUCACUGGCUCGAUACUGACGCUGAGGUGCGAAAGCGUGGGGAGCAAACAGGAUUAGAAACCAGAGUAGUCCCAU